UUGACGCUCUCUCUCUCUACAAAUCGAUCAGGUCUUCAUCUAAAAUUUUAUCCAAAACAAAACCCCUCAAAUCAAAAUGUGAAUCUUAUUUGCCAGGAAUACCAAAACAAUCACACAUAAAGAAUCAUUUGAAGCGUAUUUGGUGUUGUUAUUGUCGAUUCUCGAUCUUGAUAGAAUCUCAGCUAUCUCUUUUCCCGGGUGGUUCCAUAGUAGGCAGUGUUAAUCAGCGACAGUGGUACAUCCUCUUCCAGCAGACUUGGUGAGCCC